rnacentral:rRNA from 1 species
UACGUAGGGCGCAAGCGUUAUCCGGAAUUAUUGGGCGUAAAGAGCUCGUAGGCGGUUUGUCGCGUCUGCCGUGAAAGUCCGGGGCUCAACUCCGGAUCUGCGGUGGGUACGGGCAGACUAGAGUGAUAUAGGGGAGACUGGAAUUCCCGGUGUAGCGGUGAAAUGCGUAGAGAUCGGGAGGAACACCAGAGGCGAAGGCGCAAGCUGGAUGGGCACUGACACUCAACUGCGAAAGCGUGGGGAGCAAACAGG